rnacentral:rRNA from 1 species
GACGAACGCUGGCGGCGUGCUUAACACAUGCGAGUCGAACGGAAAGGCCCCUUCGGGGGUACUCGAGUGGCGAACAGGUGAGUAACACGUGAGUAACCUGCCCUUGACUUCGGGAUAACUUCAGGAAACUGGGGCUAAUACCGGAUAGGAAUCCUUGCUGCAUGGUGGGGGUUGGAAAGCUUCGGCGGUUUUGGAUGGACUCGCGGCUUAUCAGCUUGUUGGUGGGGUAGUGGCUUACCAAGGCUUUGACGGGUAGCCGGCCUGAGAGGGCGACCGGCCACAUUGGGACUGGGAUACGGCCCAGACUCCAACGGGAGGCAGCAGUGGGGAAUAUUGCACAAUGGGCGGAAGCCUGAUGCAGCAACGCCGCGUGCGGGAUGACGGCCUUCGGGUUGUAAACCGCUUUCAGCAGGGGCGAAGCUUGUGGUGACGGUACCUGCAGAAGAAGCACCGGCUAACUACGUG